GUGAGUCAUCGAAUCUUUGAACGCACAUUGCGCCCGUCAGUAUUCUGGUGGGCAUGCCUGUUCGAGCGUCAUUUCAACCAUCAAGCCCUAGGCUUGUGUUGGGGUACUGCGGCUGCCGCAGGCCCCUAAAAGCAGUGGCGGACUCGCUGUCAAACCGAGCGCAGUAGCACACCUCGCUCAGGGCGUGGCAGCGGGCACCGGCCGUAAAACAACUAAAACUUAAGGUUGACCUCGGAUCAGGUAGGAAUACCCGCUGAACUUAAGCAUAUCAAUAAGCGGAGGA
rnacentral:misc_RNA from 1 species